rnacentral:rRNA from 1 species
UACGUAGGAUGCAAGCGUUGUCCGGAAUUAUUGGGCGUAAAGAGCGCGCAGGCGGUUUGACAAGUCAGAUGUGAAAGAGGCCGGCUUAACCGGCAAGGGUCAUUUGAAACUGUCAGACUAGAGUGCAGCAGAGGAUAGUGGAAUUCCCGGUGUAGUGGUGAAAUGCGGUAGAUAUCGGGAGAACACCAGUGGCGAAGGCGACUAUCUGGGCUGCAACUGACGCUGAGGCGCGAAGGCUAGGUAGCAAACAGG